GAUGAACGCUGGCGGCGUGCCUAAUACAUGCAAGUCGAGCGAACGGACGAGAAGCUUGCUUCUCUGAUGUUAGCGGCGGACGGGUGAGUAACACGUGGAUAACCUACCUAUAAGACUGGGAUAACUUCGGGAAACCAGAGCUAAUACCGGAUAAUAUUUUGAACCGCAUGGUUCAAAAGUGCUAGACGGUCUUGCUGUCACUUAUAGAUGGAUCCGCGCUGCAUUAGCUAGUUGGUAAGGUAACGGCUUACCAAGGCAACGAUGCAUAGCCGACCUGAGAGGGUGAUCGGCCACACUGGAACUGAGACACGGUCCAGACUCCUACGGGAGGCAGCAGUAGGGAAUCUUCCGCAAUGGGCGAAAGCCUGACGGAGCAACGCCGCGUGAGUGAUGAAGGUCUUCGGAUCGUAAAACUCUGUUAUUAGGGAAGAAAAUAUGUGUAAGUAACUGUGCACAUCUUGACGGUACCUAAUCAGAAAGCCACGGCUAACUACGUG
rnacentral:rRNA from 1 species